CCACCCAACUCAUUUUUCCGGGCUUGCAACUCGCACUCAGAAUGUACUGGCUGUACACCCCAUGUGGCUGAGGUCUGAAGGCUCU